CGGAGGGCUAGCGUUGUUCGGAAUUACUGGGCGUAAAGCGCACGUAGGCGGAUCGGAAAGUCAGAGGUGAAAUCCCAGGGCUCAACCUUGGAACUGCCUUUGAAACUCCUGGUCUUGAGUUCGAGAGAGGUGAGUGGAAUUCCGAGUGUAGAGGUGAAAUUCGUAGAUAUUCGGAGGAACACCAGUGGCGAAGGCGGCUCACUGGCUCGAUACUGACGCUGAGGUGCGAAAGCGUGGGGAGCAAACAGGAUU
rnacentral:rRNA from 1 species